rnacentral:lncRNA from 1 species
ACUGUUCUAAGGGCUUUUGGACAGGCAGUUGUGAAAUUUUCCCCCAGAAGAAUCUCUGGGGACCCAGUUGUCACACACCGCUGGAUUCACUGCGGUGUUGAUUCUGCCUCCUGAUGAAGUUCUUCCCGAGUCUGACUUCGAGCCCGCCUGCUUUAUUAAGCACGUUUUUCUCCAGUCGUUUUUUUUUUUUUUUAAUGGAAAAAGGAACAGGGAGAAGGCUUUUCUCGAACCUGUUUGCAGAGAGCCGUCUUGCCCGCUUUGAGGGCCCUUUCUUGGGAGACCUGUUUGCUUUGUUCAACCUCUGAAUUCAGCAGACCCCAAAUCCACCAAGGCCACUAGCUUGUGAGUGAAUGUGGUCCCUUCAGGUAAGGGCCAGACAGCCCCUGCCAGGGCUUGGGGAGGGUUUUCCUAGAGGAAUCCUGGCAGUAAAAAAACCAACCCCCAAACUCUCCAAGUGCUGGACGCUGGAGAAUCCCAGCAAGGAAAAGGAACAAAUCUUAUCUCAUGCCGGAAGAUAACCUCUUCCCUUUGUUGGCGCCUUUCCUUGCGUUCAGGAUGAAUUAAAAUUCUUAUCUGCUCUGCAUCCAGUGAACUUGGCCUCGCCUUCCUGAUUGUUUGCUGCGGCUGACUUUCCCAAGCUUUGCGGGGUUAUUUUUGCCUCUGGGUGGUGGUCAUUCCUUCCUUCCAUGGCAUUUGGUUCCACACAGUCACAGAAAAAGAGUAAUUUAGCAAACACCCUCAAAAUGGCAGGACUGGCCCCCAAAACCUACUUUCAUUUUCCUCUGUUCUGGGUUGUGGGUAAUUUCUUGACAACUACAAGAAAGAAGACAAUGAGAAAUGAAUUGUUUUUUCCAAUACGAUUGUGAACAGAUGUAUAACCUCCUAGUCGCAGCAACGUUCUAGGAAUCCCUUACACCACUUUAAAGGGGCAGGAAAAUGGGCAGAGGUGCUGAGGGCUGGGUGAGUGCUAAGCAUUGGCAGGGCUCAGCCUCAUCCUGACGAGAGCUGCAGCCAUAACCUGGGUCACCUUUGCUGUCUCGGGCUUCUAAAUUUGGCAGCGAGAACAGACUCGCUUCCUUUGAGCAAUUGAUCUGAAUAGCAGAAUCCCAUUCUGAUGGUCCGAAUCACAUUUACAGGCUGUGGGGGUGAAGGCCGUGCUAAUUGGCCACUUGCCUCACCACUGGCUUUGAAACAAUCGCUUGUAUUCUCUGCGCGGCAGGAAGCAGCAGACCCAUCAAGGCCCUGGGCUCACUCUUUGUUCUGACUUUAUGGCAUUUUAUGCCACAAUAAGAAACACUGUGUACUCCGUGGGAGCCCAUUGUGCCAGGCUGCAAGGAUGUGGGCUCCGGUGCAGAGGGCCUGGUGCUCUUCCCCAGGAAGAAGAGGGGCUUUGUGACAGGCUGGGGGACAAAACAAGGGGUGCUGGACACUGUUACUGAGGCAACUGCCUGGCCAGUGUGGAGGCAGCUUUAGUCCCUGGGACCGUUUCUGUGCCCAAGGAGAGGGAGGGCAGGGGAAGGAUGGAAUUUCAUCUAGAGUAGCAGGUCCUGGUUGCCUGGUAAAUUAUGCAUCAGGACUGGGCUAGCCACUGCCUCCGUUUUCUCUGGGCUCCUGAGAUAACCUCCACCUGCCUCUAGAUUCUGUGCCAGCUGAUCGUUAUCUAUCUCAUCAACUCUUGUUCCAUCAGGAAACUGCAUCUUGGAUUCUGGGUCAACAUCAUCCCCACGGUGGAUCCAUUGGUGAGAGCAAUAAUGAAGCAGGUUUGCCACCAGGCUCCCAAAGAAGUGGGAACACUGACUGCAAAGGGCACAAUCUGAUUGGAUGAAAAGCGAGGCCUCAGAAGCAUUGGCACGUGUCCGCGAAGAGCCUAGCUGGAGAGACCCAGACACAUGCAAAUGGCCUUCUGAGUUCAUUCUUGAUGGAGAGGAGCUGGAAGAAUCCACUAAGGACAAAUUGCCCUGUGGAUUUAGUAAGAGAUCUGUAUAUAGUGGAGCCCCCUGAGGCUGGCUUGUUAAAGUAGUAUCUUCUGCUUCCCUGACAGCAAAUUCGUGUGCACUGUUUACUGGGAAAUAAUUAUGGUUUUCGGCACUGGCAAAUGGAGUCCUAUUUCUAAUGGGAGACAGUGGUUGGCAAACAUGAAACCCUGAGUUUCCCUCUGAGUCUGAGCUGUGAACUGAAGUCGAUGACAUUGACAAGUCUACUGGAAUAUCAUCUCUCAGAGCAGAAUGCAUGAAUGAUGCAGGAGGGUUAUAGGAUGAAUUCACUGAUGAUCUUGGAGAUAUUGGUCUGCCAGAAAUAAAGUAGUCAAGAGAAUUUUGAGAACUGUUUAAAUAGUCUUUCCAGUAUCCUUCAGAAUCAUGGGUGCCAGGCCUAUGUUCCACAGAAAUACAAUCACUCCAUACAUUUUCAGCAUUGACACCAACCUCUUGUCUGGGCUCGGAUUUGGUGUCCCACGAAAGAGGGCUCUUUUUCGCAUUUUCACUGCCACCUCUGUCCUUCUCUGUAGCAGAUUCCCUAUCAGGCAGCCCGGGGUCUUGGGACAACCUUUGCCCAGCAGAAGGCCGCUCUGUUGCUGGCUCCAUUGCAUUGCUUAUUCUCAAUGAGCCAUGACUGGGCUCACUUCUUCUUGAAGAAUGACCUCUGCAAUUUUCAGCAUUUUCUUCAAAAUUUUUAUUUUUGGCCUGAGGGGUCGAUGUCCCCCCAAAUCUACUUCUUUUGUGAUGGGAAGGAGAACAGGGUGAGCGCACACCAACCCACAGACAUUCUUCAGACUGGGUUUCCUCUUCAGUGUCAUCGCUUUCUCUUCUGCUGUUCAAUGACAAAAUGGAAUAAAAGUCUUCAUCUCGGAACCUAAAUGAUGCCUUUCUUGGCCCUCCUACAGUGGUGGGUGUGAGUGGUGGCCCCGAGAACUCACUCAAUACUUGAGGACUAUUUUUUCCUUGGAAGGCCUGGGACAGGGCUGGAUGCAGCUCACUCUGGGAAGGAGCACUCGGGUCUCCUUUUUUGGCUCUAUCAGGGGCGUUCUCAGUCAUUGGCUGUGACGAUGGGACCAAGUUUCUUCUCUCUUGAUUUGGCCUCUUCAGCUUAGUGUUACACAUCAGGCCUUCUUGUUGAACUACUUGAUCUGCAUUGAGAAAAGACACAUUUAUCGUUCCAGUAAAAGGGCCCAUGGAUGAAAGGCCUCUAGCACCAAGUGCAAAAUUGCCCUUUAAAUGCAACAGACAAGACCUAGAGAAGAAAACAGACACGGUCAAAAUGGCUGGAGGUACAAGAGGAGCAGAGCCCAGCAGGCUUCAUUUUACUGCCCCGUAUUCUCCUUUGUACCCCUGUGGUCCUAGGGAAAUGGGGGGACCCUGAGGAUACAGAUUCUUUCUGCAGAAGCUCCCGGAAGACUGGCCCAGCCCCAGCCAGUCAGGACUGAUGAUGCGCAAACCUCACACUAAAUACUGGCUUUUGUUCCAUACGUACUGAAAGGGAAAACCACCACUCUGGGAAUGACUUCUACAAAAACCACCAGCCCUUUCUCAUCCACGUUCAUUCAAUGUACAUUUAUGACACCCUGCCUCCCACGCAGCUUUACAAGAACUUAAGAGAAGUAUAACAUGUCUUGGCAGAUCAGGAGGAAGGCUAUAGGAGCUGGCGCCCGGGGAACACUGGGGAUUUUGGUCAUGUUUACUAUUUAGUGAAAAUAAAAAUUAUAAAUCGCUCAUGAAA